rnacentral:rRNA from 1 species
CGUGGGUAACCUGCCCAAGAGACUGGGAUAACACCUGGAAACAGAUGCUAAUACCGGAUAACAACACUAGACGCAUGUCUAGAGUUUAAAAGAUGGUUCUGCUAUCACUCUUGGAUGGACCUGCGGUGCAUUAGCUAGUUGGUAAGGUAACGGCUUACCAAGGCAAUGAUGCAUAGCCGAGUUGAGAGACUGAUCGGCCACAUUGGGACCGAGACACGGCCCAAACUCCUACGGGAGGCAGCAG